rnacentral:rRNA from 1 species
AGUGAACGCUGGCGGCAGGCCUAAUACAUGCAAGUCGAACGGCAGCACGGCAGAGCUUGCUCUGUGGGUGGCGAGUGGCGGACGGGUGAGGAAUACAUGGGAAUCUGCCCAGUCGUGGGGAUAACGUAGGGAAACUUACGCUAAUACCGCAUGCGCCCUUCGGGGAAAGCCGGGGACCUUCGGGCCUGGCGCGAUUGGAUGAGCCAUGUCGGAUUAGCUAGUUGGCGGGGUAAUGGCCCACCAAGGCGACGAUCCGUAGCUGGUCUGAGAGGAUGAUCAGCCACACUGGAACUGAGACACGGUCCAGACUCCUACGGGAGGCAGCAGUAGGGAAUAUUGGACAAUGGGCGCAAGCCUGAUCCAGCCAUGCCGCGUGAGUGAAGAAGGCCCUCGGGUUGUAAA